rnacentral:tRNA from 2 species
GGUAAAAUGGCUGAGUAAAGCAUUAGACUGUAAAUCUAAGCAUAGAGGUUCUAGUCCUCUUUUUGCCA